GUGCUUGCUUUGGCAGCACAUAUACUAAAGUUGGAACGAUACAGAGAAGAUUAGCAUGGCCCCUGUGCAAGGAUGACAUGCAAAUUCAUGAAGCAUUCCAUGUUUUU